CCCGGAGGCAUGUUCCCGCCCGCUGCGCGGCGGCUGGGUCCAGGCCUGCGCGUCGGACCACCGGUGGUCCCUGGCCCGGGUUUGGCGCACGCGGAACUGAGGCAGAGGGGCUGCGGCGGAGCAGCGCUCGUGAGGCCCCCCAGCGCGGUUCCGAUUCCGCUCUAGGAGGCCGGGCGGACCCUGUCUCACUGGUUCUGGCCGCCCCGCUGCCCUUUGACCCAGAGAGCUUAGGUUCCUGCGGCGAGCUCUAGCUUAAGAUGUCUUACAGCUAAACCUAAAACGGAGGGCAGGGCGGCUGUAAUACUGUUAGGAAUGGUAACGUAGAUGGUGACCACGUGGGGAGCGGGGAGCGAGGAGCACCUGGAGAGACCGUGGAAGCUCCUGCCCUUUCCCCCACACUUGGUCCUGCGGGUCUUGUCCAGCUGGCUGUUCCUGAGUUCUAUCCUUUAGUAGUAAAGCGGAGAUGUAGCAAAGAGCGUGUGUCUCUGAGGUCGGUGAGCGCUCAAGCAGAUUAAUGGAAACCAUGGAAGCUGGCGUGGGACCCUUUGGUCAGAAGCACAGAGCAAGUAUCUAGAACAGUACUAAGUACCUGGGAGCUGUGGAGCCUUUUUGGAUGACUCAGUGGAUGACCAACACUUGAACACCUGCAGGAAGACCCACCUGGAGACCCAUCAGUCUGUGACGUCUUAGUGGACUCCCUUCCUGCCGAGAAUUUCAUGUUUACUCUUAGCUGUCUGAUAAAAGCUGUGCUUGAACAUUUCCGAACUCGUCUACCGUCAACUCAUCAGAAAGAUACCAACUCCUGCAAAAGAUACCAACAGACCAGAACUGAGUCUACUUUUCAGAGAUGAAUGCUGAUGGUGUGAAUAGCCCAGCCUUCCUUCAGGUGGCUCAGAUAGAACUUUCAAAGAAAACAGGCUGUGGAUCUGCCGCACAGGAUAAAAAAAAAAAGUAUCAAGUAUCGUAUCAUUUAAUAAAUUGAAGAUACGAAUUGACCACAAAGAGAGCUGCGUAAGGUUUCAGGCUUCAUUCUCAGAGAACAGUGUUUGGAAUGAAGAAGAUGGUGACCAGAUUAUGUCCUGCAGGCUGGGGCACACCUGUGGGAUAGGAAUCUGUCAUGUGGACAAGGACCUAGACACACUCGAACACACUCAAGAGACAUUGACUCUUUGGUAGACUGGAGUAGCUCUCUAUCUGUGGUGACACUGAAGGCUCUGAGAAUCUUGACCUUGGGAAGAAACUGACUGCAGGAGGUAUGAUUCCACAAGAAAGACCCCACCUAUGGGAGUUGCACAACAUCAGAAACGGCAUCAUGCUUGAAGAGACGCCAGGGCCCUACUCAAGUUCCCUAACAUUUGAAAGCCUGGUUUACCUCGUCCGUUGCAAGGGGAGUGACAAUGCUUACCUUAAAUGGGAUUUUAUCAUCACAAUGUCAGAGGACAUGCCAAGGAAAUUCUGUUUGAUCUUUGGGUUGGUUCUCUUACACCUGAAUUGAGCAAGGACUCUCUCAGUGCUCAGUAUCAUCUUUUCAUCUUUCUCAAAGAAUGACCCAGGGAGGGUUUAACAAUGAAUCUGAGGAGACAGUGGAAGCUCUGGCCUCAUACUUAUACUGGGUCUUCUCCUAGCAACUUGUCCAGUGUAGCCAUCAAGACAGAUGAAGAGGAGAUUGCUCCAGAGUCCUACAAACCCUGGUGGAAAAUGGGCACCUGGAUGGCUCAUUUGGUUAAACAGCAGCUGCCUUCUGCUUGGUCAUGAUCCCAGGGGCAAGUUGGGCUCCCUGAUCAGUGGAUUCCAGCUGGCAGAUGGUGCCACAUCUGUGCAGGAAAGGAAAAAACCAAAGAGACGGUGAAGGCCAUGAAGGAUCGUACAGGGGUUCCCGUGCCCUGGUUCAGAGACCUUAGAACAAGUGACAUAGGCAGAUCUGAUCCAAGGACCCAAAGGGGACACACAGGACCAGCAAAGAGGGUCCUUGACUUCACUCAGGAUAGAAAUCAAACUUGAGCCAGGAAGAAGUGAAAGUAGGGUUUAUUAAAUCGUGUAAGUGAUACAGUAUAGCAGGUGAUUGUCUGGGAGACUUGGAAAGGAAGGGAGUGUAAGUCUCUUUGUUGCUUAGGGCUAGGAGUUUAUAUUGGAAAGGGGUCCGGGGUACAUGUUCAUUCAGGAAUCCAGGGUAGGUUCUGAUCAAGGGCAAGUGACAGGUAAAACAACAGGUGUUAUUUUAUAAAUCAUUGAAGGAAGUGGGUAUUGAUGACAUUUCCAGCUGAAAUUUCUUUGAAUGUCCUGGAACAUGUUUGGGAUCUAGUUUUUAGAUGUUACCAGGUGUUUGGGGUCCUCCAUGAAACUUAGAAAAUGAUUUAGCUUUCUUGCUUUGCUUUUGGAGUAGGAACAUAGUUUCUUUGGUUUAUUCAGAUGCAAGGUGAAAUAUAGAACACGAGUGGGGCCUAGCAUAGAAACGACAGAGAGAGAGCCUUUCUAAAAAUGGAGUUCCUUCAGUUUCCCUACCGCACAGCAACAGCAUUCUUCAAUCUAUGGCAGCCUUCCUGUUCCCAGAAGGGACACACAACCACAGGAGCAUGGCCUUUUCAUUCAGAUUAUGUGCCCCUUCUUGGAUUCAUGGUGCCAUUAGUCUAGUCAUGGAUCUGAAAAUCCUGCAGUAACUAAUUUUUUUUUGACUGUCUUCCUCUUUUUUUUUUUUGUAUAUUUUUUUGUUGGAGUUCAAUUUGCCAACAUAUAGUAUAAUACCCAGUGC